rnacentral:rRNA from 1 species
CCAGACUCCUACGGGAGGCAGCAGUGGGGAAUAUUGCACAAUGGGGGAAACCCUGAUGCAGCAACGCCGCGUGAGUGAAGAAGUAUUUCGGUAUGUAAAGCCCUAUCGGCAGGGAAGAAAUUGGACGGUACCUGACUAAGAAGCCCCGGCUAACUACGUGCCAGCAGCCGCGGUAAUACGUAGGGGGCAAGCGUUAUCCGGAUUCACUGGGUGUAAAGGGAGCGUAGACGGCCAGGCAAGCCUGGAGUGAAAGCCCGGGGCCCAACCCCGGGACUGCUCUGGGAACUGUCCGGCUGGAGUGCGGGAGGGGCAGGCGGAAUUCCUGGUGUAGCGGUGAAAUGCGUAGAUAUCAGGAGGAACACCGGCGGCGAAGGCGGCCUGCUGGACCGCGACUGACGUUGAGGCUCGAAAGCGUGGGGAGCGAACAGGAUUAGAUACCCCUGUACC